UUGGACCUAUUCUAAGGACAAGUGUCAACAAUAUGAUUAAAUGUUUAUUGAUCAACACUGGCUGAUAAGCCUCCAUUUUCAUGGUACUUAAAAAUGUUAAGAAAUGUGAUUGGAUAGAAAAUUAUCUGUCAUUUGAUUAAAUAUACAUUUUCUAUAAAAGCAAGUCUACAACUUUCGAAGCAUUCAAAAAAAAAAAAAAUGUAGAUUUAAUGAUAAAGACUAGAGUGCCAAAACAAGUUCAAUUUUCUAGUACUUUAAUUCAAAUAUGUGACUUUUAUAUGAUCCUAUCCAAUUUUGAGAUUCAACAAAUGUCCCUUAAAAAAAUCUCGUACAUUGCGUGUUUAAGUAGUAUGACCAUCUGAUCUCAUACAAGAUAAACUCGGUGGAAGUCCAUCUCCACAAAAUGUUUAAAUAAUAAUGAAGAUCCUGUGUCCAUUUUUUACGCUUCUUACCUUCCCCAUUUGUGUGUUUAUAUAUCCACUCCAGGUCCUAGCAUAGAUAGAUGUGAGCCUUUCUUGUACCAUUUUUCCUUGUUUGGGAGAGAAAAACAGAGAUCAAGAAGAAGAAGAAGAGAGAAUGGAUGCACCAACAUACCAAGAGAUGUCAUAUUUUGAACAUAUCCAAAAACGCCACGAGGAAAAAGGAUGUCUUUUUGCAUGUUUGUUCGCGAUGUGUUGCUGUUUCUGCUGCUUCGAGACAUGCGAAUGUUGCCUUGAUAUUCUCUGCUGUUCCUGUCCUUGAGUAAACAGAUUAUCAUCAUUAGAAAUGGGGUUUGGGAAGAAUAUUGGGAAAGAAAAAAAAGAGCAAGUUGUAUAACUUAUUUCACAAUUGAAAAGUUGUGAUUGAUGAAUACGAAAAAAUAAUAGUGGUUGGUGACCUUGUAUUUUCACCAAUCACAAAAAAAAGGGGGGUGAAAUAUUUAUGUUGUGUUCCUUAUUUCUAAAUGGGGGUAUCACUUCCUGAAAUAAUUUUCUUUCAUUUUGCUUUUCUAAAGACAUAUGGCUUAUGCAAGUAAAAUAGAAUCUAUAUCUGAGAUAUACAAUCGUAGGUUUGGUUAA